AAAAAAAUGAUUGAUGCUUAUUAUCAUUGCAACUCUGAGGGUGAGAAGCGUACACUAGAAUAUCCCAAGGGAAUUGUGAAAGCCUCAGCAAACUGGCAGAGAACAAAAAACUAAUUCCAUAGUCUCUUUGGAUGAGGUUGCAUCAUUGAUCUUUUCUACCACAAAACUUCUGGCAAGGGAUUUACUUUGUAUAUGUACAAAACGUUUUUGGUGUUGGUAUUACCUGUCUCAUUUCCUGCUGUGAUGUUACGUCUUCUUGGCUCAUGGAGACUUCUGAAGUUCUGUGAGUAAUUAGGAGGUUAAACCAAAGAGCGGGAUUACAUUUAGAUGUUUGCUGUUCUCUCCAGAAAACAUACCCAUUCUACCCUCCUCCUGAGCCAGCAGAUUUUCCAUGUGACCAGCAGUGGUUGUGAGGCUGAUGAAUCCCACAAGGUUGUACUGAUGGUAUCACAGGGACAUCCUGAUAGGCCCUGAGGGAAAAGCAAGGUUUAAAAAUCAAAGUCCUGACUAUCUUCUGGGAUCAUGAGAAUCCUCACUUCUAUAUGUACUUCUGCACAGUGGCCAGAAUGAUCUUUUGGCCCUUAUUUUCUCAAAUUUGAAUACUUUCUGUAGUGUUUGCCUGCAGAAACUCACCUAAGUUUGGUGUGUUUUCAUUCAUACAGAUGGUGCAUGCUUCAGGGAAAACAGAACUGCUUUGCAUCUUGGCUUACGGAUAAAGAAGAGCUCAGAUAACUUCUCCAGCAGGAGGAAUGCACGUGACCCUGACACAUGAUCUGAUCUCAUCAAGCUGCUACACAGCAACCAGUGUCAACACGUUGCCCAGGACAACAGAAGAACAACAGGUUGCACCACAUCAGCAACAAGCUCUGAGCCAUCUCCCAAAGAAAAUGUCACAGCCCCCAGGAGACUAUCUGGCUGGGAAAAAACAAAAAUAAUCAGGAGAUAAAUAUCAGGAAAGCCCAAAACCCCUACACCACCUGGGGAAAAUGAAAUCUUGGCAGGCAAUGGCCCCCAAACCCACAGGCUGUAUCCUAGCCCUGCUGCAGGAUGCCUGACAAGGACGCCUUGCACAAGGCAACCUCACUCAUGACAACAAAGCUGCUGCAGCCGUCACUGCUUACGCAGGGGCCAUCAGAGCCGUAACAGGAACUCCAGUGCCUCCAGGCAGCCUCCUCCCUUCAAGUGGGGCAAGUGCUUGUCUAAAAGGAGCAGCGAAUAUUUUGCUUUCCACAAUUUGUCUACAAAAUCCUCACAAAGAAGGGUUCAUCAGUGAUUUCUGACAGGCUGGCAAGAGGUGGAGACGGUUUAUGGAGGAGGAGAUCAACUCAAAGCCACCCAACUCCCACCAGGGAGUUCAGCAGGAGCAAGUAAAUCAUUGCCCCGGGCAGUAAUUCUAUAGCCUGCAUGGGAAGUGGCUGACUGUGCCAGAGUCCUGAGGUACCUGGACUGAGGUAUGUUCACAAAGUGCUUUAGUGAUGGAAUUAGAACAACUCUGGACAAUGCACAGCUUUUGGUCCCAGUUUGUUAAAAGGAAAGAGCUUGAUUGAUGUCUGAACCAAGACUGCCAGAUAAGGUAUGUUACAACAGCAGAGAGAGAAAAAGAGACUUGUAGCUUGUCUAAGCAUCAUCACUGUGUAAACGAGGUGCUCCUUACUGAACAAGUUAGCUUAAAACACAUAGAUAUUUGUGUUCUAAGGGCAACACCUCUUUUUGUGGCAGAAAUAGAUUACAUUUCUAUGGGAGUCAGUGCUGCUUCACAGUUUCAAACCACUGGGAUGGCUGCUUAAUUCAGAUAGCUCCUCAUACAGAGAGGGAACCAAAUUGGAUGUUUCUGUACCAUUUCCAUGUAAGACAUAAGACUUGCCAUACCAGUCAUUGCAAUCCUAAUACCCCAACCGCUUUACUAAAAAUAUACAGAAUAACUUAGUACUCUCCCAGCCGUGUUAAACACCGGAGCCAAGAAGAUGGCGCGACAGAAGCAGCCCCACUGGGGCACUACAGGAGAGUGGCCUUGCUGGUAAGGCUGCAAGAAGAAAAUGGCGAUACAAAAGGUACUGGGUAAGACUACCACUGACGUUCAUUUAACCGAUGGGGUAUUUUGUGCUCCCUACCCCUAUAGUUCUUUCCUGGCAGACCAAUAGCGUCCCUGCAGUGUAGAUGGCCCUGCAAUAUGUGAGCAGUGUACUCUAAGCUGCUUUAGCCAAAAGGCAUUACGUAAGUUAACCUGUGCAAGCUGUUUUCUAUAAAAGGAGCAAGUGGUAUUUUUAGCAGGCUUUAUGUAGUUGCUUGGCAAGGGGAAGAAACAGGAGAUGCCUCAGCACCUGGAAAGGAGCCUGCCAGACCAAGCCCCUGACCCCAUCACAGUGACUACGAUCGCUGGGUUUGGGAUGUGAGGGGGCACAUCCCUGUUACUGGACCUGUUCACAACAGUCUUUCCUAACGCCAGUUUUUAUUCAGCUUCCUGUGCCACUGAGUCUAGGGCUUUUUCUGCAUCCCUAACUGGCCUUCAGCAGGGUCAGAGGGGCUCCCUGUGCUGUUAGAGACAUCCUGGGGAGAUCCUACCUCCAUCAGCACCUUGCUGACCAUGCUUUGCACACACCUCCUAGUAAGGAAGAACAGCUCCCCGAUAUGCACAAAAAAAAAAAAAAAAAAACACACGGGGGAAAAAAAACAAUCUAGUGGCUGGGAUUUGUAGCUGUCUUCCUUUUUGUUACUACCUCAUGUGCACUUACCUAUUUUUCCCUAUUUUCAUAACAGGAACAUGCUGAUUCCUGCAGAGAAUGGUCAUCUGGCAGGUUUGGGCUGCAUUUAUGGGAUGCUGAUAAAGAGGAACAGCUGCUCUCCCUUCUUGCACUGCUUCUCACAGUAAACAAAAAUGUUAGAUACUAGUUCUGGUUAAGAGUCCUAGUUUGCAGCUCUGAUUGUUGAUGUGGUUGUUACUAGCUUGUGGAUGCUAAAAUUUGGCAUAUAAGGUCUCUCAGCACCAUGAUGAAAUCCUAUUUCCUUAAUCAACAUGGACUUUGGUUUCUUCACAAGAGGUGUGGAAGCCACUAAGCUCUACUUUUUUAUUCAGUAUCUUUGCUACGUUAGGAAAAAAAAAAAUGAAACAAAGCCACAUGUUAGGCAUUACAAAACAGUUUCUGCAAGUGCAUUUUUUAAUGCCCGGCACUGGGGGCUAUUAGGGACUGUCCCCCCUCUCCUGCUGCUGGGCAGCCGCUCUCACUGCUGCUUCAGUCCCUGGUAUGCUUCACUGCAGGGAGCUUCAUUUUUAAAGCGAAGCCUUUGCAGUGUGUUAUAUGAAAUCCUCACACUUGAAAUAAAUGUGCUGGGGAAGGACAGUUUCCCAAAUGCUAUUUUAUAUGUGCACACUCAAGUUCACUGUAUACCCACAGCAGAGAAAAUGAUCUGUCACAAGGCAAUGCUUGCUGGGUUUAAAACCAAAAACCUGUGUCACUGUGCCUAGCUGAUUUGCUACUGCUAUGUCAUCGUGUAUGGAAGGUUUGGUUUACCUGGCAGAGUGCCGAGCAGUCAAGGUGUAAGAAUAAACUCUGUACGUGACAGAAAGCAGUGCCUGCGCACUGUCAGUUCUUGAGGAGGAUCCAGAUCUUGUGUCUCAACUGCACGCAGGGCGUUUCCACUUGCACACAUACACACACGUGCACACACGGAUGUUUCACAUGAAAGAAUUCUAACAAUACUGCAUAGGAAAUCAACAUAAUGAAUACAAUCAGCAUCGUCCACUGACACUGUUAACCAGUCAGUAUUUCACUUACCAACAGUACACUUAAGACUUCCUAGAUCAUGAGAGAUUUAAGUCAUAUCCCAUCUCCUUCAUAGUGAAGUUAGAUUAUUCAUAAAAAACAUAAUAAUCCUAAGUAAAACAGAAGCUUUAGAGUAGAAGGUGUUAAUAAAACUGAUCCAGCCCUAUGCCAUGUCCUGGAGAUUGUGUACUUUUUUUUUUCUUUUUUGUAAAAAUCACAUUAUAUAUGGUACAAUACAUUUUUACAGAAAGCCUGGCAUCUAGAAAUAAGAGGUAGAACUACUCAAAACUAUAUGUUUCCUGCUGCAGGAAAAAUUCAUUUUUCUUUACAGUAAUUAAAAAAAGGUUAAAAAAAUUGACAAAAAAAAAGUCAUAGGUUAGGCCCCCAUAAUUUAAACAAAAUAAUCUAGGAAAAUAACACUCUUCAAUGUACCUGACGGAUUAAGUCCAUUAAAGUGUUUUUAAAAAAAAAAAUUGCAUAGGAAAGGGACAUUUCAAAACACAUGCUACAACGAUGGCAAUAGUUUGUCUGUGCUGGGAGUGAAGUACCUUUUAGUUUUCCUUCCUGUGUUACUACAAGUACAGGCUUUAAGAGCAAGUUAGUAUUAGCAGCACUUUCCAGCAUCUUAGAGCAGUGUAAUAAAGACAUUGAAUUAGCCUGGAGGUCAGUUUUGUUCUGCCAGACAACAAACAAACAAACAAACACUGAUUCACAACUAAAGUAAUGCCAGUUCCCCUGACAUUUCACAAAAGUAUUAUAUUAUAUCCUUAAUACUUCUGCCCUCUGCUUGCAAAUGAGAUGCGUGUAUGUCUAAGCAACAGAGAAGGCAAAAAUGAAUCUUGGUCAAAGUGGAAAAAUUGGGUGAGGAUAAAUAAGAGGAAAUCUAAAGGGGGAUAAGGAUGGAGCGGGGAGCGCAGAAUGUCUCAUUUACCUAUGCAGGUGGGGAGCAGAGAGCAUUGUAAUAUUUGGCUAGUGACAAAAUAAAUUCCAUAUAAGACUUAACAGACAGACAAAUUACAAAGUAGUUUCUGUUCCCUUGCUCCUCCAGAAAUAACCAUUGUCUUCAGGCUCAAGUUCUAUUCUAAUUUGAGGCACAACUUUUACUGGAGUUCGUGGAGGGCUGCGAAGAAAAAGAAGGAAGGUAGUGCAACUUGGAAGUCUCCCCAAGAAACAAAGGAAACAAGGACAGACAGUGCCAGUUAGCCAUCAAAUUUAAGAAGAGGUGGGAUAAAACGUAUUCCAGUAAAUUCCAAACUACUUUUCACCUCAUAGUUUCUAAUGAGACUGAAAGCAGAAAGUAGAAAAGCAGAGCAAGAAAAGGCAUCAUGGAUCCUAUUACACAUCCAACUUAAUACACAAUGGAAGUUUUUCCAGAAGGGCUGAUCCCUUGAGUCCCAGAUGAGCAAUUAUAGUCAUGCAAAGUAAAUCUCUAACUGCUCAAUCUUUUAACUCACACUAAUCUGCUACAAUUAAUAAAUAAUGGACAAUGAAUUACAUUCUUCACUUCUAGAAAUUGGUUCUUCAAACAACGAUUUCUACUCCUUCAAGUGUUACGCACUGGUCACAUGCAGGUGGAAACAGUGUCCUUUGGAAAUAAAAAAAGCAGUGGAUGUGCAGGGGUGCAGCCCCAUCUCCAGGUGCUUGCAAGGUUUAAUGCAAGAGCAGCCAUCACCAACUCCACCUUUCUGCCCAACUUCAGCAAAUGUGGCUUUAAACUUCCCCUCCCGUGCCACAGGACCAGCCCAGCUACAUCAGCCAGUGUCUGCACUAAUCCAGGCGGCUGCAGAGGAGAAACCCUUUGACUACUGCAGAUUUCUGCAUACGGUAACAACAUACAUGCUUCCCCCGAAAAAAAUAGCUGGUCCUCCAACCCAAAGCACAGAGCCUUCUGCAAAGGCAAAAACAAUUGCACAGUAGCUACAAAAUGGAGAAUGCUCUUUUUGACGAACAACAAAAUUGUGUGCAAUGAGUGUGGCAUGUGAAUGGAAAUACUUGGGCAUAAAUCAAACACAAGAUCUGAAUAAAGGCCAUUGUGCCACACUUGUUUCAACCCAAAAAGAGCAGAAAGGGCUCUGCAGCUGUCUGCCCAGAGUGAGGGAAGCCUUCAUGUAGUGACAGGCAGCUGCCACAGAAUGACAAGUGCAGCACAACCAAAGUCUCCCUGCUCAGAGUGUCACCUGGACUAACAUGAUAGGAAUGUUUGUUUUUCAACCUGUUUAUGUAACUCAUUAAAGUGGCAAAUAAUCUCUGUUUAUUGAGUUCUCCACUACAUUAUUAAUCGUUUACUAGGUAAUAAACACAGCACUAUGUAAAUUUCUGUGGAGGCCUUGAUCCUGAAUGCUUGCAUUUCACUUCACUAAAGUCACCAGGGCCACGUGUACAACGUCCUCAAAGAUCAAAGCAUCACUGCCUACGUUCCUUCCUUGUCUCACUCCCUCUCAUCUCCUUCAAGCUCCUUGACCACUGUUUGUCCCUCCUAUUGGGGAAGGACGAGGAGUCAGUGUGUGGUCCCCAGAGUUAUGAGUACCCAAGGGAUUCAACAUCCUCACUGGAUCUGAGGGAUUAGAUAAGUCAGUAUCUCCUCCAGCAAGUUGAGCAGGAGGCUUUAUGAGUUUGACUUUCUAGUUCACUUACCUUGCUUUCUUUUCUCCCAUUCUUUCUCCUUCUCUUUUUCAAAAAAAAAAAAAGAAAAAUGUCUAAAUAUUAUUUCACCGUUCCAUUAUAAUUAAUCCUGUAAAUCAUUCCUGAGUGAAACUUCAGCACAUUAUCCUGCAGAGUAGCAAGCAGUGCUUUCAUUUUGGAAGAUUAUGUUUUGGCAAAGUAUUCACUGGCUAUGGGGUUGCUGGCAUGGGCACUCGGAACAAACCUGCUGCUAGCCAACAGAAUUAAGAAUGUAUUUAUAGGAAAGUGCCUGUCAUUCUCCUAGCAGGGUAGAGGAUGUUUUGGAUGAGAUCUGCCAUAACUGAACUGGAGAGAUGAGUGACAUUCAAAAACAGCACAAACACAACACCCACAAAAAACAAGGAUGGGAUUAUUCUGCGGAUUCCCUGUCUUAUUGAAUUUGGUAGCAUUAGUGUUCAAUUUGCCGCUGGCAUGAGAAGACUCAAAUGUUCUGCAAUACAUUCUGCUAAGAGUUCUUUGCAGCAGGAGACCCUACCGCUGGAGUUUGUUGAAGGUCCUGAAACACUGCCAGCUAAUUCCUAUUGGCACGUGGGCAAGGAGCAUGCCAAUUUGUCCUCAGACAUCCUUCUGCGAGGAUCUUGCCCAUACACAUUCUUUGGAGAAGCUGAGAAAAAACAAUGAGGGAAGCAAGAGCAGGGGAAAUAACGGAGCCUGCAGAAUAGAGGAAGAGAGAUCUUGCAAGGAAAGGUCACAUGAACUAACAGUGUGCCUGCACUCAGCACCACUUAAACCAUCCCAGGGACAGGCAGUAUCCUGCACAAGGAACAGAUAAGCACGUUUUCUAGUUUCAUCCUUCUCUGAUUCGAUGCACCGAGGAUGCAUUUCUUUGUGGUUCUGUGCCAGUAAAUCUCAGCUCUUGGAAAAUAGCUGCCUAUCUAGAUUAAAUGGUACGUGAGCAGCACAAGUGUCCAAAGGCUUCGGUAACAUCACAGGAAGAAAAGAUCAGGAAAUUAAGAAAUCACAUUUUAUUGCACUGCUUCCCACAGAAACAUGUUUUCUGUACUGCCGAGUUGGACAUUGCUUUUGAGCAAGAAGAGGAGUGCUCUUUUAGGAGGAUUUAGUGUAAAAGAAUGGAAAUUCGAUUGUUGUGCUGGCUCUUUUUAAAAGCAAGGCAAGCUGCAGGAGCCUCACACUGCUGAGGUGCAUGCCUUGGCAGCCCUAACAGGCAGGGCAAAGUUCCUGCUCUACGAAGGCAGUGGCAACAGUCCCAAAGAUUUUUGGCCAGAACUUUACCUAUGGAGUAAUACUAUCUGCUGUAGGCUGUGCUCAUUGCCAUCAGUUCUGCAUAUUCUCUCUCAUCAAAGUUACUUCCUUUCAGUGGGCACACACAUGCCCCACGAGUAAAUACCAGAUGAAGAUUUUCAUCAUCCACGUGUAGAAGAUCCUGAAAAUCUGGUUCUGACAAUUCAUACCACAGAACUUAUUUCCUCCUCUAGAAACAGCUAGACUUCAGGGUGAAUGAGAAAGUGAGAGGUAUCUGCAGGCUGCAUCACUCCCUCCAAAAGUAGAAACUUCACCCCAAUCCUUCCCUCUGACACAUGUUGUAGAAGCAUUCUUAAUUCUGCACUUGACAGCUUCUUCUGGAGCUAUAAAGCAAAACUAUUUUAGGCUCCUGGAGGCCUUCUGGGAGUAAAUGUGACCUGAAAGAAGGUGCUGCAAAGUUGCAUUCUUGCACCUCACAACAACUCAGCACACAGCUCUAUGCAAAGGAACAAAGCCAGUACAUAAACGCCUGGGUUUGUGUGUGUGUGUGUGUGUGUGUGUGUGUGUGUGUGUUUGUAUGUUUUACCAUGUGCGCACAUGUCUAUAUGCAAAUGUACUUUUCUGGAUUACAUAUUCAUCUGUUAAUCUGUCUUUCACACAGCAACUGUGCUUCACUCCAUGAUGUUAUCAGUAUGGUCUCAAAGUUUAUCUACAAUAUGCUUUCCUUACAACACAGGCACAGCAGGAGAAUAUCAUAAAAGAAAACUUUACCAGAAGAAAAAUCCUAAAUUAAAAUCACAGCCCUCAAAACCAACAGCCCUGAACCUUGGUACUAUCUCUAUGUCUAUAGCACGCCAAAAAUACAUUAUUUUUUUCCUUCCAAAAAUUUAAGCUUUUGUUAAAUUGAAGAAUUGCAUCAGUGAUUCUCAGUACUUUUCCAUACUUCAGCAAUGAGCCUUUUUAGAAGCACAGAAAUGGUGUGACGGCUGUGGUCUUGGCCACUUGCUUGCACUUCUGUGAGCAGA